GUGAGUCAUCGAAUCUUUGAACGCACAUUGCGCCCCUUGGUAUUCCGAGGGGCAUGCCCGUUCGAGCGUCAUUAUAACCCCUCAAGCUAGGCUUGGUGUUGGGGCCUGCUGUUACCGGCAGCCCUUAAAAUCAGUGGCGGUGCCAUCUGGCUCUAAGCGUAGUAAUACUUCUCGCUACAGGGUCCUGGUGGAUGCUUGCCAUCAACCCCUAAUUUUCUAUGGUUGACCUCGGAUCGGGUAGGGAUACCCGCUGAACUUAAGCAUAUCAAUAAGCGGAGGA
rnacentral:misc_RNA from 1 species